rnacentral:lncRNA from 1 species
AUGCUUCAGUCAAUGAUGCUCCUGCUAAAGCUGAAACGUUUGCUCAGAGGUACUCUGAAAUACUUGAGGACUUGAAGAAGGAAGCUGAGAGUCACAGUCCGCCUGAUUGCAUUACUUCGUGAGUAGGGAGUUGGGGUUCAGAGAUAUAUUCAAGAAAGUCAAGGAUGAAGAGAAUGCAAAGGCCAUAACCCUGUUUGAGAAUGUGGUGGAUCGUAAUGAUGCUAUUCAAGAUGAAGGCAAGCGGGUAGAGAAUCUGAUUAGAGGGAUAUUUGCUGGAAACAUAUUUGAUCUUGGUUCUGCUCAGCUUCUAUGGUGCACACCUUUGAAGGAAAAGUAUAGUUAAUCAAUAUGAAGACACAUCAACAUUACAUGUGCAGGUAAGGAUACUUCUAUUAUUGGCAAGCCUUUUCCUUUAGCUUCGUCAAUUCAUGAUUGAAGAGCCUCUUGAUUUCCUUAUUCAUGUUCUCUUGAUUAGAAGAUUGUAAUGUAUAUUGCUUGAACUUUAUCAAUAAAACCUUACAUACAUUCC